rnacentral:rRNA from 1 species
GGACUACACGGGUAUCUAAUCCUGUUUGCUCCCCACGCUUUCGCACCUCAGCGUCAGUACCGGGCCAGUGAGCCGCCUUCGCCACUGGUGUUCUUGCGAAUAUCUACGAAUUUCACCUCUACACUCGCAGUUCCGCUCACCUCUCCCGGACUCCAGAUCCCCAGUAUCAAAGGCAGUUCCGCGGUUGAGCCGCGGCAUUUCACCCCUGACUUAAAGAUCCGCCUACGUGCGCUUUACGCCCAGUAAAUCCGAACAACGCUAGCCCCCUUCGUAUUACCGCGGCUGCUGGCAC